GGGAUAACUUUGACAGCACAUAGGCUAAAAGUGGAAUGAUACAGAAAAGAUGCCUGGCCCUUGCUCAGGAAUGAUAUGCAAAUUCAUGAAGCGCUCCACCUCUCU
rnacentral:snRNA from 1 species